UACGUAGGGGGCAAGCGUUGUCCGGAUUCAUUGGGCGUAAAGCGCGUGUAGGCGGCCAGAUAGGUCUGCUGUGAAAACUCGAGGCUCAACCUCGAGCUGUCGGCGGAAACCAUCUGGCUAGAGUCCGGAAGAGGAGAGUGGAAUUCCCGGUGUAGCGGUGAAAUGCGCAGAUAUCAGGAAGAACACCAAUGGCGAAGGCAGCUCUCUGGGACGGUACUGACGCUGAGACGCGAAAGCGUGGGGAGCGAACAGG
rnacentral:rRNA from 1 species